UUUUUGUUGUUUUAAUGAUGACACGUGACCUGGGAUUAUCCUGUUGUACGGUCUGCAGAUCGCUCUUACUAUUGUUGGUAAAACUGACCUGACUAUACUACUAUAACCUGAUCUUCCUGGACUAGAUACAUUACGAUAUGAAGCUAAUAAUGGUUAUUGUUUUCUUGUUAUUCGUAACUCUUACUGAACAGAAAUCAAAGAAGUCAUAUACGGCGAGCUAUAGAUUAAUCAAGGCGGCAUGUGUAAAGCGAAUGAAACCAACUACUAAUUCACCUCCAGAAACUAGAGAAUUACCUUUCAUGUAUAACCUCCUUGAUUAUCUGGAGAAACGGAGUGGACGCCAUACCCCUGGAAACAAAGUUGAUCCAGAUCAUUUCGCUUCGGAUAAGCACAUUUCUUUAAAUACUGCUCGCAUACUUGCAGCAUUGGUCAGGUCGCUUCCGACAAGCACUUCUGAAAUCCACAAAGAAAUUCAGGAUUUGCACAAACGGUUAUUGAUGAAGAGGCUAACCGCAGCACGAAAGAGAAAACUGAAACAAAUUUUGAGGAAAUUUACUGGAACUGUCCGUCAUGGUGUAAUUAGAGAUGCCAUUGCCAGUGGUGAUCCGAAAGUCGGCUUAGAUAUGGUAUGUAGUAUCAUGAAAGCCGGUCUUUUAGAAAAAUAGCCAAUUGGAUGUAGAGAAUCAGAACAUUUGUAUUUAAUUAUGAUACAAAAAUAAAAUAACACAAUCUGU